CAUCCUCCAAGGCUAAAUACUCCUGACUGACCGAUAGUGAACCAGUACCGUGAGGGAAAGGCGAAAAGAACCCCGGCGAGGGGAGUGAAAAAGAACCUGAAACCGUGUACGUACAAGCAGUGGGAGCACCCUUUGGGUGUGACUGCGUACCUUUUGUAUAAUGGGUCAGCGACUUAUAUUCUGUAGCAAGGUUAACCGAAUAGGGGAGCCGGAGGGAAACCGAGUCUUAA
rnacentral:rRNA from 2 species